rnacentral:rRNA from 1 species
UACGUAGGAUGCAAGCGUUGUCCGGAAUUAUUGGGCGUAAAGGGUGCGCAGGCGGUUUUUCAAGUCAGAUGUGAAAUCUCCCGGCUUAACUGGGAGGGGCCAUUUGAAACUGGAGGACUAGAGUGCAGGAGAGGAUAGCGGAAUUCCCGGUGUAGUGGUGAAAUGCGCAGAUAUCAGGAGGAACACCAAUGGCGAAGGCAGCUCACUGGGACGGUAUUGACGCUGAGACGCGAAAGCGUGGGGAGCAAACAGG